UGAGCUGUUCUGGAGAAGCUACAACAGCCGCAGGGAUCUGAUCAUUGACCGUAACAGCAACUUCAAGUGUCCCGUGAUGCUGGUGGUUGGGGAUCAGGCACCUCAUGAGGAGGCUGCUGU